CAUGCAAGUCGAGCGAUUACUUCGGUAAGAGCGGCGGACGGGUGAGUAACGCGUGGGUAACCUGCCUCAUACACAUGGAUAACAUACCGAAAGGUAUGCUAAUACAGGAUAAUAUAAGAGAUUCACAUGGAUUUUUUAUCAAAGCUCCGGCGGUAUGAGAUGGACCCGCGUCUGAUUAGCUAGUUGGUAAGGUAAUGGCUUACCAAGGCGACGAUCAGUAGCCGACCUGAGAGGGUGAUCGGCCACAUUGGAACUGAGACACGGUCCAAACUCCUACGGGAGGCAGCAGUGGGGAAUAUUGCACAAUGGGCGAAAGCCUGAUGCAGCAACGCCGCGUGAGUGAUGAAGGCCUUCGGGUCGUAAAACUCUGUCCUCAAGGAAGAUAAUGACGGUACUUGAGGAGGAAGCCCCGGCUAACUACGUGCCAGCCGCCGC
rnacentral:rRNA from 1 species